rnacentral:rRNA from 1 species
AUUGAACGCUGGCGGCAUGCCUUACACAUGCAAGUCGAACGGCAGCACGGGAGCAAUCCUGGUGGCGAGUGGCGAACGGGUGAGUAAUAUAUCGGAACGUGCCCAGUCGUGGGGGAUAACGUAGCGAAAGCUACGCUAAUACCGCAUACGAUCUAUGGAUGAAAGCGGGGGAUCGCAAGACCUCGCGCGAUUGGAGCGGCUGAUAUCAGAUUAGGUAGUUGGUGAGGUAAAGGCUCACCAAGCCGACGAUCUGUAGCUGGCCUGAGAGGACGGACCAGCCACACUGGGACUGAGACACGGCCCAGACUCCUACGGGAGGCAGCAGUGGGGAAUUUUGGACAAUGGGCGCAAGCCUGAUCCAGCAAUGCCGCGUCGCGAGGAU